CCUACGGGUGGCAGCAGUGGGGGAUAUUGCACAAUGGGGGGAACCCUGAUGCAGCGAAGCCGCGUGGGUGAAGAAGCGCCUCGGCGCGUAAAGCCCUGUCAGCAGGGAAGAAAAUGACGGUACCUGAAGAAGAAGCCCCGGCUAACUACGUGCCAGCAGCCGCGGUAAUACGUAGGGGGCAAGCGUUAUCCGGAUUUACUGGGUGGAAAGGGGGCGCAGACGGCGGUGCAAGCCAGGAGUGAAAGCCCGGGGCCCCACCCCGGGACUGCUCUUGGAACUGCGUGGCUGGAGUGCAGGAGGGGCAGGCGGAAUUCCUGGUGUAGCGGUGAAAUGCGUAGAUAUCAGGAGGAACACCGGUGGCGAAGGCGGCCUGCUGGACUGCAACUGACGUUGAGGCCCGAAAGCGUGGGGAGCAAACAGGAGUAGAUACCCCAGUAGUC
rnacentral:rRNA from 1 species